rnacentral:rRNA from 1 species
ACGGAGCCGAGCAUCCUCCCGGCGGCGCGCACCGGCCUCGCUCCCGCGGCGCCGUGCCGCCGCAGCCUGCAGGUGGUGAUGGCGAGGGGCGUGGGGUUGGCCAGGAGGCGCGCGGGGACGGAGACGCAGCGGGCGAGGAAGCAGGCCGACGCCAUUUUAUCUCUCGAUCGUCUCGGUCGCGGCGUUCGUAUGGAUCGAUGUGUUCUCCUCCUCCUUGUUCCUCUUCUUGUUCUUGGGGACUCCGGAGCCGGACUGGGCACAAUAAGCGGAAGGAAGGAAGGAAGGCAGGAGGGUUUCCAAAUGAAGUUAUACUUGGGCGCCUAUUUAUUCGAGAUUGGAGAAAUCAAUGGUACGUUUUGCCUGCUA